rnacentral:rRNA from 1 species
CGGAAUCAGAGACCGGCGCACGGGUGCGUAACGCGUAUGCAAUCUACCUUUCACAGAGGGAUAGCCCAGAGAAAUUUGGAUUAAUACCUCAUAGUAUAGCAGUUUCGCAUGAAACCACUAUUAAAGAUUUAUCGGUGAAAGAUGAGCAUGCGUCCCAUUAGUUAGUUGGUAAGGUAACGGCUUACCAAGACAACGAUGGGUAGGGGUCCUGAGAGGGCGACCGGCCACACUGGUACUGAGACACGGACCAGACUCCUACGGGAGGCAGCAGUGAGGAAUAUUGGACAAUGGGCGCAAGCCUGAUCCAGCCAUGCCGCGUGCAGGAUGACGGUCCUAUGGAUUGUAAACUGCUUUUGCACAGGAAGAAACACUACUUCGUGAAGUAGCUUGACGGUACUGUGAGAAUAAGGAUCGGCUAACUCCGUGCCAGCAGCCGCGGUAAUACGGAGGAUCCAAGCGUUAUCCGGAAUCAUUGGGUUUAAAGGGUCCGUAGGCGGUUUAGUAAGUCAGUGGUGAAAGCCCAUCGCUCAACGGUGGAACGGCCAUUGAUACUGCUAGACUUGAAUUAUUAGGAAGUAACUAGAAUAUGUAGUGUAGCGGUGAAAUGCUUAGAGAUUACAUGGAAUACCAAUUGCGAAGGCAGGUUACUACUAAUGGAU